rnacentral:rRNA from 1 species
GACGAACGCUGGCGGCGUGCUUAACACAUGCAAGUCGAACGGAAAGGCCCUGCUUUUGUGGGGUGCUCGAGUGGCGAACGGGUGAGUAACACGUGAGUAACCUGCCCUUGACUUUGGGAUAACUUCAGGAAACUGGGGCUAAUACCGGAUAGGAGCUCCUGCUGCAUGGUGGGGGUUGGAAAGUUUCGGCGGUUGGGGAUGGACUCGCGGCUUAUCAGCUUGUUGGGGGGGUAGGGGCUUACCAAGGCUUUGACGGGUAGCCGGCCUGAGAGGGUGACCGGCCACAUUGGGACUGAGAUACGGCCCAGACUCCUACGGGAGGCAGCAGUGGGGAAUAUUGCGCAAUGGGCGGAAGCCUGAUGCAGCAACGCCGCGUGCGGGAUGACGGCCUUCGGGUUGUAAACCGCUUUCGCCUGUGACGAAGCGUGAGUGACGGUAAUGGGUAAAGAAGCACCGGCUAACUACGUG